UACGAAGGGGGCGAGCGUUGUUCGGAUUUACUGGGCGCAAAGGGCGCGCAGGCGGCUCAUUUUGUCAGGCGUGAAAGCCCCGGGCUUAACCUGGGAACUGCGUUUGAUACGGAUGGGCUAGAGUUCGGGAGAGGAGCGUGGAAUUCCCAGUGUAGAGGUGAAAUUCGUAGAUAUUCGGAAGAACACCAGUGGCGAAGGCGACUUACUGGACACAUAUUGACGCUGAGGUGCGAAAGCGUGGGGAGCAAACAGG
rnacentral:rRNA from 1 species